UACGUAGGGUGCGAGCGUUGUCCGGAUUUAUUGGGCGUAAAGAGCUCGUAGGCGGUUCGAUAAGUCGGACGUGAAAUCUCCACGCUCAACGUGGAGGGGCCGUUCGAUACUGUCGUGACUCGAGUCCGGUAGGGGAGUGUGGAAUUCCCGGUGUAGCGGUGAAAUGCGCAGAGAUCGGGAGGAACACCCGUAGCGAAGGCGGCACUCUGGGCCGGUACUGACGCUGAGGAGCGAAAGCGUGGGGAGCAAACAGG
rnacentral:rRNA from 1 species